ACGUUGCUUUAGCAACGGCCCGAAGGGCGAGGCGAAGCCGAGUCAUCCUGCACGACCCACCA
rnacentral:sRNA from 1 species